UCUCCCGCUUCACCUCCCUGAGCGGGUGCCUCGCACCAGCGAGGCAUUUUCACCCCCGACUACUCCCCUGGUCGGGGGUUUUUAUU
rfam:Thauera linaloolentis 47Lol = DSM 12138 Cont3, whole genome shotgun sequence.